ACGGAAGGCAGCAGUGGGGAAUAUUGCACAAUGGGAGAAAUCCUGAUGCAGCGACGCCGCGUGAGUGAAGAAGUAUUUCGGUAUGUAAAGCUCUAUCAGCAGGGAAGAAAAUGACGGUACCUGACUAAGAAGCCCCGGCUAACUACGUGCCAGCAGCCGCGGUAAUACGUAGGGGGCAAGCGUUAUCCGGAUUUACUGGGUGUAAAGGGAGCGUAGACGGCGAUGCAAGUCUGAUGUGAAAUGCGGGGGCUCAACCCCUGAACUGCAUUGGAAACUGUAUUGCUGGAGUGCCGGAGGGGUAAGCGGAAUUCCUAGUGUAGCGGUGAAAUGCGUAGAUAUUAGGAGGAACACCAGUGGCGAAGGCGGCUUACUGGACGGUAACUGACGUUGAGGCUCGAAAGCGUGGGGAGCAAACAGGAUUAGAUACCCUGGUA
rnacentral:rRNA from 1 species